UACGAAGGGGGCUAGCGUUGUUCGGAUUUACUGGGCGUAAAGCGCACGUAGGCGGACUUUUAAGUCAGGGGUGAAAUCCCAGAGCUCAACUCUGGAACUGCCUUUGAUACUGGAAGUCUUGAGUAUGGAAGAGGUUGGUGGAACUGCGAGUGUAGAGGUGAAAUUCGUAGAUAUUCGCAAGAACACCAGUGGCGAAGGCGGCCAACUGGUCCUUCUGACGCUGAG
rnacentral:rRNA from 1 species